UACGUAGGGUGCAAGCGUUAAUCGGAAUUACUGGGCGUAAAGCGUGCGCAGGCGGUUCUUUAAGACAGAUGUGAAAUCCCCGGGCUCAACCUGGGAACUGCAUUUGUGACUGUAGAGCUGGAGUGCGGCAGAGGGGGGUGGAAUUCCGCGUGUAGCAGUGAAAUGCGUAGAUAUGCGGAGGAACACCGAUGGCGAAGGCAAUCCCCUGGGCCUGCACUGACGCUCAUGCACGAAAGCGUGGGGAGCAAACAGG
rnacentral:rRNA from 1 species